AGGUCCUGCCUGCCCAGUGACUAUGUUAAACGGCCGCGGUAUUUUGACCGUGCAAAGGUAGCGCAAUCACUUGUCUUUUAAAUGAAGACCUGUAUGAAUGGUGAAACGAGGGCCUAACUGUCUCCCCUUUCAAGUCAAUGAAAUUGAUCUGCCCGUGCAGAAGCGGGCAUACAACUACAAGACGAGAAGACCCUUUGGAGCUUAAGAUUAAUAAUCAGCUAUGUCAAGUAUUUAUAAAAUAAAACUAAGUAGCCACUGAUAAUAAUCUUCGGUUGGGGCGACCACGGAAUAAAAAUGAACUUCCACACGGAUUGAGAAAUAAUCUUAAAACCAAGAAAAACACUUCUAAGUCACAGAACUUCUGACCACACAGAUCCGGUAAUCUACCGAUCAAUGGACCAAGUUACCCUAGGGAUAACAGCGCAAUCCCCUUUUAGAGUUCCUAUCGACAAGGGGGUUUACGACCUCGAUGUUGGAUCAGGAC
rnacentral:rRNA from 1 species